UACUAAAUAGUAAUACAAAAGUAUUUUACUUAUGGUACUGAAUUUUUUGGGAGGGCCAGGGCCCUCCCCCGGCCCCCCUAUAUCCAAGUCCUUGAUUAAAAAUGCUCUACCUAGCCCAGGCUACCCUUGCACCCGGUCCCUGGCCCGUUUUGCGCAUGCUCAUUUUAGUCAAAAGCCCACAUUUGCAUAGUCAAAAGCCCAAAGGCAUUUGUUUUAAUAAAUAUACUUUUAAGUAGUCAAUCAUGGAAAGUAGCACAGAAAGAUGUUUCCAGAUCUUCAAAGAUUACUUUGGCCUGGCGAGAGUAGUAGCGGGCUUCCAUGCGGAGAGAGAAUUACAAAAGGUUACGAGAAAUCUGAGGUCACACUACGAGCAAGGACCGAGAUACAUCUUUUUGUUAGGGCGGCAAAUUGGUAGGCAAGUAAAGCGAACUGGAGCUUUUUACGGGGGUCUAGGGGUACACCGCGGGAGAAAAUUUUUCCCACGACCCUUCAGAUUGGCUUAAAGCAAGGCAGAUUUUUGUUUCUAACCACAAGUUAGAGUUGCCUCAAGUCUAUAUCGUCAUCUGUAAUAAGUCUACCAAGAAUAAAGCAACUACUGAAAAUUUGUUGGGGGCCGAGUCCCACCGGCCCCCUAUAUCUCGGUUCUUGACUACAAGCGAAUUGCGCAGCAAACAUUAGAAACAUGACAACAGAGCGAAGUGAACUGGAGCGAACACAUUACUUCUGAGAUAUCUCUUAGUUAAGAGAGAGCUUCCACAGUAGACAGGGGUGUAUCAAAGUAGGGUUGUAGGGCUCUUUUGGCUUGCCGGGGAAAGGUGAGGUUGCGAUUAAUACUUACUGGUAAUCCUGGGAGAUUUAGCAGCCCGUCAGUACAUUUCUGUUGCUGCACCCCCACUCCAAAAUCCUUCGCCACUAGUUUUAGAAAGAUAAAAAUCCAACUAUACCGGCAGAGGCGGAUCUAGCGAAAAUUUUUAUGGGUCCGGGAAAAUUUGAUGACCAGGCCCCUUUCAGGCAAGGCCUUGCAGCCAAAAAGGGAGAUGAGAAACGCUCGUAUUUCUCUAAAAAUGCCCCUGUUACACCUUGGCAGAGGGCAUCACCAUGUCACUCCCUGUCAACAUAACAGGUAAUUCCUCUAAUAUUGUUUAAAUAUACACACCUUUUUUAUAUGAAUACCUAAUUUUUUGCCGAGCCCCGAUACUCUUAAAAAAUUUCGAUUUUGAGCCUAAGUUAAUCCUUAAGUUAUUCUUGCAAAUAAAAGCUGUAAGUAAAUUCGCCUUAAGAUCAAAGAAAAAUUUUAAAUCUUUUGUGAUGUGUUGCUUCAUUGUAAAUUUCAACAAGAACAAACAGAACAACAAAUGUGAUAUUUAAAAGGAAAAUCUAAUGAUACAAAUACGAUCAUGAAACAUCCAUUUUCGUAAAAUUGUUAGUCUUGAUGAAAGUUGAGCCUGGCGUUAUUCUUAAAUUCUUCUGAAAUAUUAGCAAUUUUGAGCCUUAAUAUUCGACUUUAUUCUCAUAAAAAAGAGUGCGUAUCCAUUUCUCCACUUCUACGCUAUUCACAUAUGUCAACAAACCUAAUAAUCUUUCGUUUCACGUAAUUCGUAAUAACUAAAAUAGUUCUUGUAAAUAUGUAGAUAAGCUAUGGGUUACUGUUCAAUUAAAAUUAGACAAGUUUGUGUCAGUUCAUCUUCUACGACCUGAGACAUAGUCUGAGUCUACUUCCGGCUCUGCCUUCUCUGCAUGUAAAAUAAGACAAUCGUGUACUAUCUCAAUCAUGGAAGGACGUUUUAUACAUAGGAAACAGGAAUCACAACAGACGCAGGGUGCAUUCAAUCAAUAAUUCGAAUUCAAACGGGGAUUUCUAAAUCGGAGAUUGUCUAUUAUAUAAAGAAUAGACAAAGAGAUAACUGUACAUACCUAUGCGAUUUGACAUUAACCUUCUGAUUAGAUUUCAUUUUCCUUAUCUGUUCUACCUCCGGUUUGGCGUUACUUCAGUGAAGUCGGUGUCGGUGACUUGUAGUCCUCUCGCAGCUCGUAACACCCCUAGAAAGCUAAUGGGAUAAACCUCGAGCACUCAUAGAGAGAGAAAGCCAAUCACAUUCUCUGAUCUUAAAGAAUGAACCAAUCACAUUUGCUAUCCCUGGGCGAUAAGAUUUGGCGGGAGCACCCAUAGAACAUCCUAUCUAGGGAUAAACGAAUGAAAUUGGGAAUCUUGUACACCUUUUUUGAAAAUCCUAUUGCUUUACCCGAAAAUCCCCAGAAAUCCUUCAGUUUUAGGCACAAUCCCGUACGCUAUUUGCAAGAGUAGAUCGCCCCUCUAGCACCCCCAUGGAUCUGCCCCUGGAACUGCAGAAUGUGGGCAGUGACACAAAACUAUGGGCCCCCAAAUACAAUUGUCCCUAAGGGGCCCCAAGAAAUUUCUCGAAAAGGUGGGCUCUUGGAUGACAGCAUAUAUUUCUUAAUAGCAUGACUCUAAAACUCUAUGAGUCAAGUUAUGACUCUAAAACUUGACUCAAAUUUAGUGUACCCAAAAUACUACUUUCAUUAAGAGCCCCACACUUCUCUGUUACGCCAUUGAGUGUGGACUUUUUGAAGAGAUCACAAAAGUUCAAGAGAAAUAUGCCAUUGUGCUUCCUGCUAAUCUGAGAUAAAGAUGACACAAGGGACGUAGGGAACAUUCUAGAGGAAGGGGCACAUAAAUUCAGGGGGCAUACUCACAAGUAAAAAGUGGCAACACUGUAGCUGCCAAGCCUGUGAAAAUUUGGGCACAAGCGCCAUCUGUGCCCCCAUAUUGCCUAUGCUCUUGGCUGAUAUCAUUAGAAGCUGACAUAUGCUAAUUCUAAUUCCUGAUGACAGGAAUUAGUGAGAAAACACUGCUUUCUCUGGAAUGAUAAACCCCUGCAGGACCUCAAAAAUCUCCUGAAGAGUGAGUUAUUCACGAAACAGGCCUGUAGAGAUAAAGCACAAAAAUAAGAUAUCAUUCUAUGCAAAAGUGCUAUUUUUUCAUUGUUUUUCUAAAACAUUUUUCUUUAUAACACUACUGCUUUUUGUGAAACAAAAGUUUAGUUAUACAUAUCUAUAUGUCUAGAUGUCACGUAUAUAUAUAUCUCUUUUACUUUUGGGGUAAUGCCUUCCUCUAUGCAUAGCUUAAUGUACACAAACAGAUGAUUGCCUAAUGAAUCUUCGUUUGAAAAUUCAAUGUAUUCAAAAAGCUAUUUCCAAAGAUCAUUAAAAACAAAUUGUUAGGUGUCAAUGUUGAAACUUUUAAGAUUUUAGCUGCAGUAUAAUAUGGAGGCAACAAAUGAUCACAUGCCCCUCCACGUUUUGGUACACAGUGCCAAAAUGCAUGUCCAAAUCUAAAAGUGCCCGGAACCUUUUGGAACUUUGGCCACCUAUGGGUGUGGUCAUUUGCCUCCUUUUGAUCUGGCCCUCUAACUUUUGAGAUGCUUCCUAUGCCUUUGUCGCUAAAGCAUUAAGAGGCUCCAAUAUAUACUCUCAGAACACUUAGAACACUAUUUACAGGUGCAGUGCAACGAAAUUCAAGGUUGGCGAAUUGAGAUAACAGAAUUAUUUGACUAAUACCCCAUGUAUACGCAUGGGCGGUGGCAGCCACUAGAGACGAGAGGGGGGGGGGGUUAAUGGACAACUAGGAUUCCAUCUUUCAUAAGAGGAAGGAAAAACGUGGUAGCACCAUGUAGGGAGCAUUAGGGAAACAAGAGGGUAGCACUAGGGGAAGAGGCAUAGCCCCUGCCAAUCUGAGUUAGAGAGGGGUUUCUUUAUAGUUGGUUACAAAAACUCUAGUUGGUCACAAUAUUGUAAAUGCUUAUCAGAGUUUUCAGAAUUUUGAUUAUUGUUGUCAUUAUGAUUGAUAUUUAAAAUAAUUCCUACAAGUACCAGCAGCAGCCAUGACGAGAUGCAGUUUUUGUGGAAAGGCAGACCAUGAACUGCAGCUAAGGAAUGAUGACUUGGAUUUGGGCAUGCUUCUCAAACGAGGGAGGAAGUAGGAGGGUCACUGCCCUGGUGGAGGCAGACAGUGUAGAGGAGCUAAGGGAGAAAGGAAAAAAAGCGCUUAGACUUCAGGGAGCCGUGGUAGACAUGGCUCUUGAGGAUGGCACUAUCAUCAAUGAUGAUAGUCAAGUCAUGUUUGCCGCCCUCCCUGAAGAAAUUCAGGUCAAUUUUGAAAUAAUCGAGGUUAGAAACGUUCAUUUAUAUGUAUUGAUCCAACUUAAUAUAAAUAUUGAUCCAACUUUUUCGAAUUUAAAUAGUAUGAGGCACCAAAGAUUGGUAAUUUCCUUGAUUGGCUCUUUUUGAAAACUAAUAUUCUUUUUAGUUUAUCACCUUUUUCAUAUAUCAACAUUUCCUGUUGUUCCUGCUGUCUGUACAGAAUAUUGGUAAUAUAUAUCAAAGUAAGACCCCUUGUCAAUGAUAAGUGAGAAUCUGUAAAUUGAUAUUUGAUCUGUUUUGCUUGAUAUCAGCGAUUUAUGUAUUGCCAAAGGAGAGCAGGAGCUUUUCUACAAAAAGAUUUUCCUCUUGCCUGCUACAAUUGAAGCUUUUGUGUGGUACUCCCCUUUCUCUUCUGCAUCUUCCACCUAAGCAUGAAUUGCCUCAUUUUGUAUUGUAUCUUGCUUCCUGCGCAGAAAAUUUGAUAAAAAUUUACUUCUUUUACAGAUUGAAAGAACUGCUGUACAUGACUGGAACAUUUUUUUUUGGAAAUUAUAUUUUUACAAUUAGUUUCAAUUUUUUUAAUUAUCUUAAAUCUUCUGUAGCAAAAUUGUAGUAUCUCUAUUGGAAACUUCAUUCUAAAUUUAAACAGUUCCCACUCAAUAUUCUGAAUAAGAAACAACUUGUUCAUUUGUUUUGGCAAAGCAUGUCUUGAAAAAACAACUGAAACUUUGGAAUUUAUAGACAAAAGGCGAGGGGCAUAUUACUCCUGAAAAAGUGUAAGAGAUUUUUUGUGAUCCAUCUCAAUAUUUCUGUGAUUUUGUGUGAUUUCGAGUGAUUUUUGCGAGUUUUUGCGUGAUUUUACUGAUUUAUUUGAGACUUUCUGUGAUUUUAUCACAAACGAGAUUUUUUUCAGUGAUAUGCCUCUCAUUUUCAAGUAAUGGUUUCUUAUAGUGGGUUUCUUAUAAACAAUGAGUGCAUUUUAUCAAACUGCAUUUAUUUUUCUGUAAGGUGCUCCUCUUCGAUCUACUCAAAAUCAUUAUUCCUAUUCGUUUUCUGCUAAUAAUUAUGUUUCUGAGUACAAUACACGUCUUUUUCUUCUUUUCUCGAAACUCUAGGCCGUUUCCUUCUCAUCAAAACAUUAUGUGACGUAAGAAUUUGUCGGCGCCUUUGAAAAAAAGUGAUGAACUCGAUUUUAUUCUGCACCUGGCGCAUUAAAUUCUGCAGAGAAAAUUGACAAUUUUAGUAUGUUACACGAUCACAUUUUAGCAUGUUGGUCCAAUAUCGAACAAAGUGAUGGUAAAAAGUGAUCGUGUAACCCAGCUUUUAGACCUGAAAAAGAAUUCUCAGCAGUGCAGGUCAGACAGGCAAGGUCAGUAUCAGUGGCGGACUGGCACGGAAUGUAUCGUAUCCCAGGCCCAUCCACCCUUGCCCUUAAUUUUCUAAAAAAAGUUUUUA